CAACGCUCUAACCACAAAAAAUACUUAAACCUCUUCGCUUUGUCAUUAUGUGGUAUUGUGUCUAGACUGAUAAGCAAAGAAAGUAAUUGAUUCAAUUUUAUGUGGAAAAAGUCAAGGGGUCUAAAUAGUUUCCGAACUAACAGAGGGUUAAAAACAUUAGGAACACCUGCUCUUUCCAGGACAUAGGCUGACUCGGUGAAUCCAGGUGGAGGUUAUGAUCCCAUAUUGAUGUCACUUGUUAAAUCCACUUCAAUCAGCGUAGAGGAAGGGAAGGAGACGGGGUUAAAGAGGAUUUUUAAGCCUCUAGACAAUUGAGACACGGAUUGUGUUAAAGGGUGAAUGGGAAAGACAAAAGAUUUAAGGGCCUUUGACCGGGGUACAGUAGUAGGUGCCAGGCGCACCGGUUUGUGUCGAGAACUGGGCGAUGAUGCUGUCUUUUUCACGCUCAACAGUUUCCCGUAUCAAGAAUGAUCCACCACCCAAAGGACAUUCAGCCGACUCGACACAACUGUGGGAAGCAUUGGAGUCAACGUAGGCCAGCAUCCCCCCCCCCGUUAAACGCUUUAGACACUUGUCAUUUUGAGAUAUAUUCUUUGGUUGUCUAAAUUGUCUACAGGAAAUGUAAACCGACUUUGUGUAAAUACUAUAUACACGGCUCAAAAAAAAUAAAGGGAACACUUAAACAACACAAUGUAACUCCAAGUCAAUCACACUUCUGUGAAAUGAAUAUUUCAUUCAUUCAGAUCUAGGAUGUGUUAUUUUAGUGUUCCCUUUAUUUUUUUGAGCAG
ensembl:lncRNA